rnacentral:hammerhead_ribozyme from 1 species
UUCCAGCUGACGAGUCCCACAAUAGAACGAAACGGCCGUCCAGCAC